CUUUCCACUUCAAACCUCUUAUGGUAGUUCUUCUUUUUCCAACCAGCAGCUGAGUACAGUCAGACCAGAGAUACUCCUCAGCACCUUUUCUACAGACGAGUCGAAGCAGCAACAGACGGACGCACACCACGAGAGAGAACGCUCUCACGAGCAAUGAGUGGAAGGAGUUUACCGCCUUAGCUGUCAAUCACCGCGGCCCCGCCCAGAGCACACAGGCAAGGUGUGAUGAAGUCCCGCCCACAUUGCAGGGGAAAAUGACACAUCGCUCUCCGUUGGCGUCUGCUGGUCGAAGAAAAAAGGUCAAAAAGCUGCCGUGUGGCGAUUCUUGGUCUGCUGGCGAAGCCUCUGGACCCCCAGAAGAUCUGGACCAGAUUCCUGUCGGUCACAGGUAUCACUUGACUGGCAACCCGGAAACCCGGAAGUUACCUCAAGCAGGCUGAAGAAGCCCAUUCACAGGAGAAGAUGGCUGGAGGAGAGGGGAGGGCCGGCGUGCCAGGCAUUCCACAGCAGCACACAGUGGACACAUUA
ensembl:lncRNA